CAAAGACCAAAUACGCCACGCUGUCAAUGUUAUUCUAUGGGACGACAGCAGAGAUUUCAAUAUUGAAUGAUCAAUGGUCAUACCAUGGUUGGCUGUGCAGCGUUUGGAUGCUCCAAUCGGUCCGAGAAGGGUUACCACAUGUAUGGCUUCCCCAAGGACCAAGAGCGCAGGAAGAAAUGGAUGGCAAUGGUCAGCCGUCAAAACGUACAAGUGACAGGGGUCAGCAACAGUCAAAAACUAUGUAAUGUACACUUUGAAGAUGACCAAUUCAGAGCCACGAGAAGGGAUGCUGAAGUUGAGGCCCGAUGCAGUCCCAACAGUUUUCAUUCAUCGUCCUAAGCCGAAGAGGAGGAAAUCCCCUUCUGUGAGGGUGCCUCCAGAACCAAGUGCAACGGACCACACAUAUUGCGCCAAAUUAAACUUUGGUAUGAUCCAUGCAGCUAACAAUAUUCCCCAUUUCAUCUAAUUCAAGGAUAGACUACACUCCUAAUGAGAUUACAUAAUUCAGGGGUAAACGGUGAAGGAAUAACUUUUCCAGGGCCAGCUGCUCCAGGGACCAGACUGCCAGGGACUGAUGGGGCGACUGUGGAGGACCUAAUAAGGCAACUAGAAAAGGAAAAAUUAAUGAGAAGGAGAGCAGAGAGGGCUCUUGUAAAACAAAAAGAAUAAAUUUGGCACUAAGAAAGAGAAACAAUUCAGUCAACAAGAAGUUAAAACAAAUGUUUACUAGCGACCAAAUUAGAGCCCUUGGACAGGAAAAUAGACAAAUACGUUGGGGAAAGGAGACAAUUAAAAAAGACCUACGGGUUAAAUUUGUGGUAAGAUGGCCGCCAGUGGUGACGUUCUAGACGCCACCGUAACUAGGCAUCUGGUCCAACAGCCUGGAAAGAUAAUACGUUUCUGCACACUUCCAGUAAGAUGCUCAUUGCUUUAAAAGUUGAGGUUUACGCUAAAUCACUUCAGUAAAUGUGGGCCAGGUAAUAAUCUAAAUAGUGCCAAAGAUAAUUCAUUACACAAUUGUUCCAAAGAUACAGUACAUUGCCAACAGAAAAACAGCAAUACAGCCGAAGGCACACCUUCAUAGGACAAAACAUGUUGGUUCCCUAACUUAGGGUGACCUCAGUCCCCAAUACACGGAAAGAGUUCACAGCAAGUGAUCAAGAGGAAGAGGAGAUCUUAAUAUUGAAUAUUCGCAAUAAGUUCUACUUUAAUAUUUGCCCACUUGGGGGUAUGUUUUGUGUAACCUGUAAGUCAAGUGAUAUCUUCAAUAUUGUCAUAUAAUCAUUACAGUAUUAACAAUGAUAAAUGAAAAAAUAAAUCAACAUUUGGAGACAAAAAACACAAAUCCUGGAAUCCUUUUGUUAAACGAUUUGUAUCAUAAUUUUUUAAUCAUCAAAGUAGCCACCUUUUGCAGACAUAACAGCCGAACAAACUUCCUACAAUGGAAAUCAAAUAUUGCUUGGGAUGCUCUUCCCAACACUGUUGUAGAUGUUCCCACAAAUGUGUUUCACUUGUAGGUUGCUUUGUUUUCACCCCUCAGUUCAUCCUAAACGUAAACUUUAAGUGAUAAGUAACUUUAACGCCUCGUGCCCACUACCUCCGUCCGU